rnacentral:rRNA from 1 species
AAUUCCGUGAAUCAUCGAGUUUUUGAACGCAUAUUGCGCCCGAGGUUCACGCCGAGGGCACGUCUGUCUGAGCGUCAAC